AGCGAGGUAAUUUGUUUUUUUAUUGGAUUCUAGUAUGAAUGGAUUUUUUGUUAUUAAAUAUAUUGAUUUUAAAAAGAAUUUUAAAUUUAUUUAAAAAAUAAUAAAUAAAAUAAAACUAAGAAAAGUCUUUAGAAAUUUAUUAUUUAAUUUAAUUAGGGAAAUAAAAUAAUUAAUAUUUUUUUCUUAAUCAAAAAAAAAAAUUUCUCUAGAGUUAACAGGAAUAAAUAUUAAUUUAUUAUUUUUACAUCGAUGUUGUUUUAUUUAAUAUUAAAAAUGAGAAACUUUUGAGUGAGAGACUGUUCUUCUUUUUUUAAUACGUGAAAUUAGUUUAAUU
rnacentral:rRNA from 2 species